GGUUAUAUAGUUCAGUGGUAGAGCUUGCCUAGAAUGAGCAAUGCCCUUGGUUCAACUCCCAGUACAAUUA
rnacentral:tRNA from 1 species